UCGGGUGUGUGUCUACGUGGACGAAGUCGUCCAUCAGGUGUGUGUUUACGUGGACGAAGUCUUCCAUCAGGUGUGUGUCUACGUGGACGACGUCGUCCAUCAGGUGUGUGUCUACGUGGACGAAGUCGUCCAUUAGGUGUGUGUCUACGUGGAGGAAGUCAUCCAUCAGGUGUGUGUCUACGUGGACGAAGUCGUCCAUCAGGUGUGUGUCUACGUGGACGAAGUCGUCCAUUAGGUGUUGUCUACGUGGACGAAGUCAUCCAUCAGGUGUGUGUCUACGUGGACGAAGUCAUCAGGUGUGUGUCUACGUGGACGAAGUCGUCCAUCAGGUGUGUGUCUACGUGGACGAAGUCGUCCAUCAGGUGUGUGUCUACGUGGACGAAGUCGUCCAUUAGGUGUGUGUCUACGUG